UACGUAGGGGGCAAGCGUUAUCCGGAUUCAUUGGGCGUAAAGAGCGCGUAGGCGGAUUGUUAAGUCAGAAGUGAAAACCGGGGGCUCAACCCGCGGCCUGCAUCUGAAACUGGCAGUCUUGAGUCUGGUAGAGGAAAGUGGAAUUCCUGGUGUAGCGGUGAAAUGCGCAGAUAUCAGGAGGAACACCAGUGGCGAAGGCGGCUUUCUGGGCCACGACUGACGCUGAGGCGCGAAAGCUAGGGGAGCGAAC
rnacentral:rRNA from 2 species